ensembl:snRNA U6 U6 spliceosomal RNA
GUACUCACUUUGGCAGCACUUAUAGUAAGAGUACAACAAUGCAGAAAAGAUUAGCAUGCCCCCUACACAAGGAUUUCAUGCAAAUUCGUGAAGUGUCCCAUAUUUAA